CCUUUCAAAAGGAAAAUAGGUACACGAAUAUUUCACUUCGUGUUUAAAAGGGAAGUUUGGUGAAACUCCAACACGGUCCCGCCACUGUAAAUGCUGAGAUUUCUUUUUUGUGCCACUGUGAAAACGGGAAGGUGAAAGAAAUUAUAUGAAGCAUAAGUCAGGAUACCUGCCUAUUUUAACAACACUGAU
rnacentral:ncRNA from 2 species